rnacentral:lncRNA from 1 species
AUUACAAAUUACAAAUGCAAACUAAAGUGAAUUUAGGCAGAUUAAUCAGAUUGAUUUAGGCAGAUUAAUCAGUUUGUUUUUCUGCUCCAGUUUUCAAACUGCCUCAUCUUUGUUCUGUGACGAAAAAAAAAAACCUGUUAUAUUUGCUCUGUCACAACUACAUGUGGAGUAGAGAGUCUUGUCAACGUUUUCCAAAAUCAAGUGAGUAGAAAUGCUUGGAGAAAUAUUUUCAGGUCUCAAGGGGUGUGCUGAGAGACGCAGGGGAUUCCAUCCAACUUGGUGACAGUACCCUGAUCCAAUGGCCUAAUUACGAGCGUUAAUCAUCAGGCUAAGUUUGAGGCACCUUUCACAAAGACUGUAGCGCCUCCUCAGUCUUCCAAGUCAAGAUAACAGAGUCCAAACUUUGAAAACCAUCCAGUUACCAUGGAGACGGUCCUGCUCCCGGACCAGUGGAGUAUGCCCAUCCUCAAGCCUCCAGACACCGCCGCGGGCCGCUGCCCUCAAAGAACCCACCACAGGCUGACAGGAAAUACUGUGCCAUGCACUUUCUUCCUCAUACUGUUUCAUCACCCUCCUAAAACUUGGAGGUUGGUAUGAUUAUUUUCCACAUCCUACAAGGGAAGACACUAAGACUAACUAGUUAAAUAUUCUGUCCCAAAUCAGUCAGUACGAGACAGGGCGGGGCUCGAGCCCUGGAAUCUCGAACCCCUGGUUCCUGGGGCGCCCCUCGGACGCGGGGUCCCAGGCGUGGGCUCUGCUCCGCUUGCCUCGCCACACGAAGGCCCUUCCACCCCGUCACGGACUCCAGGCUUCUUUGCGGGCCGGGACCGAGGGCCCGCGCCUGUGGUCGGGUCGCAAGACCCCGGCCGCCGCCAUCCCGGGCCGAGGCCGCCGCCCCGCCCCCGCUGGCUGCAGGCCCGGCGCCCGCCCCCCCGGGGUUUUCGCUUUCGCUUUCCCGCCGAUGUCGUUGAGGGAAACAGCGCAGCGGGGCCAGCUCAGGCGCAGCUGCCGUUCCCGGCGGGCGAGGGGCGCAGAGGGCGGCGGCGGCGGCGGCGGCGGCGGCCGAGGAGACCGGGCUGGGCCCGGCGCGCGGCGAGGUGCCAGAGUUUGCAGCCUGUUGGGGAAAACCAACAUCAAGGACCAGUGCUUUGAAUGGACUACAGCCCAAUGGGUCUGUCCCAGUGCUGCUCCUUUACUGAGACAGCACUGCGGAGUGCCACCCUGCUUGCUAUGCACAGCUGCUCUGUGGAUUGAAGAUGAAGAUUCGGUGGAGUGAAGGACUGGAGGACUCCUGUGACAUUUUACUGCAGGCAGGGAAGGUGAGUAGUGUGGGAAAAAGGAAUGGCAGAAACCACGGCCAAGAUCUGUCUGGACUUCAGGGGACUCGUGCACAUGAGCUUGGCAUUCUCUCAGGGUAUAGAUCUUGUUUUAUUUUUCCUCAUUUCCCAGAUCUGAUGCAGGCUUUGCCUGACAGUUAACAAACGGUGUCAAGUGGGUGUGCAGUGUGUGCUGUAGGAAAUAAGGGCUCACUAGGACCCUGCUGGACAGGCCUCCCACCGGCUCCCACUUCUCUGGAGGGCCUAGCAGACAGCCACCAGCAGGAGCAGCCUCUCAGGACGCCCAGAGCUGCUGCCUGCCAGCCCUUCGCACACGAGCCCUGCUGACAGGGCUCAGACAGGGUUCCUUUCUCCUCUCCAAGCUGAACGUGGCCAGUCCACAGUUCCUUAACAUACUGACUGUCCCUCCAGUCUGGAGAGGCACAGAAGGAUCCAGGUGUCGUCUGGACAGGCAGAGCAUGGAUGAGGAUUGAAGAUUUAGGUCUGCAUGCUUCCUUCGGCCGUCAGUGUGGCUUCCAGUGCUGCAGGAAGGCUCAGGGUUGCUGCCCGUUGUCUUUCUUGCUUUGGUGUUCUCGUGGCCUUUAUGUAGGUAUAUUGUGCUAUAAAACCUCAUGUUGUAGGGCUGGGGACUUAGCUCAGUGGUUCUGCCUCUUACCUUGUAAGUGCAAGGUCCUGAGUUCAAUCCCCAAUACCAAAACACCCCCCAAAAACCAAACCUCAUGUUGUAGUUCUUGUGAGCAGAGUAGUUUUCCCUCCACAAUCCUGGAAACUCCCCGAAGGCAGCUGGCUGGUGGUGGGCACUCCAUUAAAUGUUAGCUAGUACUAUUUGCUUUGUUAUUUUCUCAUUGCAAUGGAUGACGUUCAUAUCAUUUAAUGAGCAUGUGCUGUGUGCCAAAAACUGCUCGAUGCUGGAAUGCAGCCCUACCUGCGGAGCUCCCAGGCACUUGGGAAGACUGGUUGAUUGGAUGAUGAAUCCUGGUUGUAGUCCCUGUGAUGAACACCUCUGCUGUCAGACAUCACUGGCUGCCUUCUGUGUGCUCAACUUAGAACCGAGCCCAUUCUUCAGCGGCCGGAGGAUAUCCUGUGGAGCAGUGCAGCGCCCGGCCUCCCAUCCUGUGUGAACUGCAAGGCAGCGGCUGUGGCCCUGAGGCCCUCUUCUCUCCCAGGCCAGGCUGCGCCUCCUGCUCACAGUUCUACUUUUCCUAAGCCAAACUGGAGGCCAGGGCACCGAGAACGUCGAGAUGGCAUAUUUCCAGAGUGUGGAGGAGACAGACUGUACCGCAGGAGCCUGGAGCCAGGCCCCAAAGGUUCUGCUGGCUGUCCCAGGGGCCUGCCCUUACGACAGCCCACCCGGGACAUCUCGGAGCUUGUAUCUCUGCUCAUCAGAAGUUGGAGGAGUGGGUUCGAGGGGGCAGCUGUUUCCUAUAAAAAUGUCCAGUAGAGGUAAUGUCCUUGGGACAAACUCUUUUUUUUUCUAUACUGGGGAUGGAACAUACAGCCUUCACUCUGAACUGUAUCCUCAGCUCCCUUUAAAAAAAAAAAUUAUUUUGAGAAAGGGUUUUGAUAAGUGCUAAAUUGCCCAGGGUGGGCUCCAACUUGCAGUGCUGGCCUCCCAAAGUACAGGGAUUACUGCUGGACACGAUGCCCGGUUGGUCAUCCUUUUUUUUGGGGGGGAGGGUACCGGGGAUUGUACUCCAGACCUUGUGCUUUCGAGGCAGGCGCCGGAACCACUGAGCUAAAUCCCCGGCCCUGGUUGGUCAUCCUUUUUGACACCCAAGCUAAGGAGGCUCAUUCUGUGCCUGAGGCUCCAGUGUCUCGCAUUCUGCCCGCUGGAAUACGGUCUCUCAGAGGGGCUGUGGAGCCUCGUGUGGUCGACUCCAACCAAGGUGCAGGCAUUUGGGGAGCGUCGUCCCCAGGUAAUUCCUGUGUGUCCAUUUCCUGUUACUGAGACAAAUUACUAUAAACUUGGUGUCUUAGAAAAACACACAUCUAUUUUCUUAAAGUUCUGAGGGCCAGAAAUCCAAAAUAAGUCUCAGUGGGCUAAACUCAAGGUGUCAGCGGGAAUGUGUUAAUCUCCACCGAGGCUCUGUGCCUGUCCCAGGGUCAAGAGGCUCCACGCGUUCUGCCCUGUGGCUCCUUCCUCUGACUUCAAGUCCAGCAGUGGCUGGUCAGGACUUCCACAUAAUGCCAUCUCUCAGAUUCUACCUCUCCUGCCUCCCUCUUCCCUGUUUAAGGAGCCCAGUGAUUACAUUGGGCCCCCCAGACAAUUUCUCUGUUUCCCACUUCCAGCAACCUUAAUUCUCCAUUGCCACGUAUCAUGGCGCAUCCACAGGUCCCACCCACUUGGACGUGGACAUCUUUAUUCCACCAUGGACCGUUAUUUUGCACACCCAGCCAACCUCUCCUGUGGCUUUUCCAAGGGUCUCAUCCUCAGGCAUAGACAGUGGGCUGGGCCAGACCAGUCGGGAUGUGCCCACCACUGGCAGAGAGGUCCUUUCUGCCCAGACACCCUCCCUGCUUUAGCUCACCUCCUCUUCUCUCAUCCUCUGCUCCCCCUCUGGCGUAGAGGGAAGCUGGUGAGGCUAGAUGCGCCGCGGGAGCCCAGGGAGCUGAGCCCUCCCCGGCCAGACAGCCUGUCUUCCAGGGGCUGGAGCCAGAGCCCAGCCUUUGCGGUCGCGGACUCACAGUCUGAGGGCAGUUGCAGGGUCGGAGGGGCAGGCAGGCACAUAUCGGAGACACACGUAUCCCCUGUGCCUCUCGGCCUCCCUUCCUCAGGUGACAACAGCCUGUCUACCCUCCGGCACUCGGUGGUCCUUUUUGGGGCUGGGACCUUGAGAGGCUCCCAAGGAGGGGAGGCCCCCAUCAAAUCUGUCCCUGGGUACUGGUGAGGACCUGGGGGAUCCAGGACCCCAGCAAGAGGUCUCAUCAGCACAGCAGAGCAAAGCAGGAGGAGCUGGACAGGGCCUUCGGUCUUCAAGUAUGGUGACCAGUUGGGCUUGGUUUGCCUAAGACUUUCCCACUUUGAGCAGUGGGGGUCCAAGCCCUGGAACUCGGUCAGAGCAAACCGAGACAGCUGGUCACCCUGUCUCCAGGGCCUUUAUCACAUUCUCUUCCGCUCUGGGUCAUCUCCGCUGCUACACAGCCAGCUCUUUGGACUCCUGGAUACUAGAAAGACCUGGGGGCUGAGGAAGGACCCCAGGCCCACGCCAGAAAGGAGCAGGCUCUUGCCCCAGCAAGCCCGGCAGAGGAGCCAUCAACAGUGAAGACCAAGCUGGUGUCUGCGGGGCACAGAGCUCCCAGGAGCAGUGUGCGUAAGACGGUGAAAAGGAAACCUCUAAACACUUAGCAGCCUGGUCACUUCUGAGUGGUGGAUUGCAGGUGGCUUUCAUAAAUACUUUGAGUUCCCCCUCUGUAUUUCUUCCUCUCUGUACAAGUAAGCCAUGUUCUUUCUGUAUGUUUUUAAUAAAAGAAAGCCAGUGGUGACUCAGCCAUCCAUCUCCAGUCCUGCUGAGGGACACGAGCAGUUGUGCUGGCACCUGUGACCUUGGCUGUGGGCUGGUCAUGGCCCCAUUCUGCCCGAAGCUCUACUGCAAGGGCAGGGAAGCUACUCCUCCGUGUCCUUCGGCCCCACAGUGCACCCAGGGUCCAGCCUGGCUUGUUCCCUGAGUGAAGACUCAAAAGCCUGAUGUGCUCUCUCUUGGCAGAGCAGGGGUGCAGGUGCUGAGGACACACAGGAUGUGGCUGGCCAUUGGGAGAUGCUCUUGAGCACCACUCUGGACUGAGAAUGAUGGGGAGAGGAGCUCUUGCCUCCAGGCAGCUGGCACCUGGUUGGAGAGCUCGGGUUACCCCACAGACCAUGUGGCGCAUGGUGGACUGGAUGAGGCCUUGCCUGUGAGGAUUGUCCGAGGUCGCAUAGGGGAGACCCAGGAGCCUCACUGCACUUGUCUUAGAAUGGCCAGAGGCCAAAACAGGUUUUCUUGAGUGACCUGAGGCAGCCCCCCAAGCUCGGGGUAAAUGGUCUCCCCCUCCCAGAACUCGCUGCUGGACACUUUGUGACAGAAGAGUGGCAAGAACAGUCAGCAAGAUGUUCCACUCUUAGACAGCUGGGCACCCUUGGGCCCUCCUCCUUGCCCUCUCCCCUCGUAUUCUUUGGGAGUGCCAGGCUCUAGACUUCCUCUGGCUGCCUCCGUCUGGUCUCCUGAUACCAAGCAGUUCUCUCCACCCCAAGCCCAGCAAGAGCACUUGGAAGGGAGCCCUGGGUCUCCAGUAGAGGCAGCCACCCCUCCACCUCCUACAUACAGGGCCAGCAUUCCCCACCCUAGUCCACCCUAGUCCACCAUUGUCCUGGUGAGGCCAACAUGUGACCUUGUUCAUUGUUUUGGAAAAGUAGUAAGUGUUCUGGCCUAAUGAUCCCUCCCUAUUGAACCCAGAACCCAAGCACAACUCCAUGUUCACACAACUCCCUUGACCCAGGAAGUCAGCUUUCUCAGAGAAGCCUGGCAUGUGCUUCCCCCUCCUUGCCACACCCUCGCCCCUAAGCCAAGAUCCUGCUCUAUCCCUUCUCCCUAAGCAAAGCUGCAGCUGAGUGUUUUUACUACUUUCUUUUUUUUUUUUGGUGCUGGGGAUCGAACUUGGGUCCUUGCGCUUGCACAGCAAGUGGCAAAACCACUGAGUUAAAUCCCCAGCCCCUAAACUGAGUGUUUUUAAGUGCUAGGGAAGACCUUGCUAGUCCUGCCUCAAUUCUGGGCAGAUUUGGGAAUCUGAACGUGUGAGGGAAAAGUGAUAGCAGAAUUGGACACUCCCCACAUCCAUGUGGUUUUUAAGGGAAAGAGGACAGUAGGAACGGAGACAGGGAUUCAGGCCAGUUCAGGAUUCGGCCACACAAAGUAGUGAGGGCCCCAACCUGGCGACCUCUUGGCUGGCUAUGGAGGCUGGGCAGGCCUCCCCUGAAGGGAAGGUAGUAGUGAGCUCUGGUGUCUACCUGGUGUGGCAACUAGCAUCUGCCUUGGGUGCUGCAGUUUCUCAGGAAUUAGACCCACUAGAGGCACAGGGCCUGAGCCCGGCCCAAGGCUAGGAGUUAGGAUGCACCUCUGAGUGGUCCAGACCUCUGAGGGACCCCAGAGGCCAAAACCGUCUGGCCUAGGGCAGAAGAGCUGGCUUCGCAGACAGAAUUGUGUCUAAAAAGUCCCCUUUGACCCCUAGAGCUGAGACCUACCAGGCCAGAGUCCCCUAGAGAAAACGGACUGUGUAGCUAAGCUGCUCCCUGCUCUGAGGCCAAGUAUCAAGCCUGUCAGGUCACAGCCCUGGCCUUGGCCUUCAGAACUGCAUGCAGGUGGCCUCCCGGGUAGAGGUGGGGAAUCACUUCUCUUGGGGCCCAAGCCAAACUCCACCACACUGGGGCCCUGGGGCCUGUGGCGGCAGAGCCAUAUUGUCUGAAGUACCAGGAGGGGCCAGGGGCGCUGAUGCCAAGGCGACACAGCAGCUGAACCUUUGCUGUCUUCCGUCAAGGUCUCCAGAUGCCUUCUUGUCAUAGGUUCCUAGUGCCCUGUCCCUUGCCGGCACUCCCCAAAUUCCCCCCCAGGCUUCAGUUUCUUCCUUUGUAGGCAGCCUGAUCUUGUAGAACCCACCUGUGUUCUGGGCAUGGACAGGUGUGGGUUGGAAUCCAGCUGAGUCACCCGUCGUGGGCAAGCCCCUUGUGCGUGCUGAGCAUGGUUUCCUGGUCUGUGAAUGAGGCUGGGGGUGGGGAGCUGUGCCUGAGUGACAGUGCAAAGGGGAGCUUGGCACAGUCCCUGGUCCCAAGGGAACACUCGGGUCUGUUUCAUUAUCCAAGCAGAUCUGAGGUCUGCUCUAGUUCUGCUCCUUUCCAAGCUGCAGACUGCACUGAGCCCGCAGAAGUGGGGGCUUCUUCUGCAACUGCCCCCCCACCACCAGAAAAGCAGCAGAAAUGGACCUUUGGGAGCCGCCUGGAGCCAGGAAAACCACAGCCAGCCAGCUAGGUCUUCCUCAGACUCGACCCCACAAGGGAGCUCUGGCCGGCGAAGCCGCCUUCCACCCUGCCACGUACCUUCACCUCUGGAAAAGGAGCACACCAGCGCCCCAGGCUCUGGUUUCUGUAAGAGCUGGUGAAAGUGGGGAGAGACCAGUGCUGAGUUCAGAUGGAUUUUACACAUCUUCCGUGUGGAGAGUGAGUGGUUGCCUCAGUUAAGACACAGCAUCACGUAGGUCAGACGAAAGUUCCUUGUUGGAUGCUUCAGCAGGGCUGUGUGGAGGAAACUCCGACCCCAUGCAAGAGUGGAGUUUUGGGUCUGGGCCAACAGUGAGAAAGACGGCCCACUGGUCGCAGAGAAUGACAACUUGGGCAUGACCCAGCUCCAUGGACUAGGUGGCAUCACUCCCAGAGAAAAGGGCUCCACCUGCAACCAAGCUCAAGGCUUUUCCCAGGAUUUCAGCUGGGCCCUGGGCAGACCCCACUGGAGGCUUCCAGAGACCGGGAGCAAGCUCUUAUGUGUGGAGGCAGGGUGACCACAACACCCUAUACACGUGCAUGGAGAGAUGCUGAAAGCUGAUACUCUAAGAAGGGAUGAUUUUCACAUUAGCCUUCAGCUUUCAUCCUACUGCAAGUAGCUGAAUAAAUAAACCAACCCGAUUAAAGUAACACCUUUGGAAUAAAACAAGGAAACUCCUCUGGCUGAUGAGAAAUGCCCUCCAGUGUCUGUAAACUUGGUUCAUCAUGGGUGUGCCUGAGACUAGCUGGUGUACCUGAAAUCCCCCUUUGAUACUUUACCCCAUUGCAAAGUGGCCCUCAAUGACCAUAAUGUCACAGUAAUCCCAACAAAGCUCAUCUUUCAAUGACCUCCUAGCUCCUUCAACCAAGAACUUCCAUUCUGAGUGCUUAGAUUGAAAAUCUUGGGAAUUACCUACCCUUAGGAAGCACUGACAAGUCCUGAAUGAUCUUAAACUUUUAGGCCCAAAUUUGGUUCAGAUUAUACUGAGGCUGAUCCUUUCCAGACUCUGUUUGCUAAUGAGAUAGUCCCAGCUGCCAUCACCUUUAGGUCUGACUUCUAGGCCUGGGCCGAGGUUCACAGUGAGAUGUGAUGCGACAGCUCCCUAUCCUGUUAGGUCGGUCCCUAUCACACAUGCUCUUCCCUGGAGCCCAGCUGCCUUGCAAUUUUGGGUGCAGAGUUUUAGGUUCCUUCUCUGGACAUUCCAAU